rnacentral:rRNA from 1 species
GCAUAUCAAUAAGCGGAGGAAAAGAAACUAACAAGGAUUCCCCUAGUAGCGGCGAGCGAAGCGGGAAAAGCUCAAAUUUGUAAUCUGGCGCUUUCGGCGUCCGAGUUGUAAUCUCGAGAAGUGUUUUCCGCGUCAGACCGCACACAAGUCUCCUGGAACGGAGCGUCAUAGUGGUGAGAACCCAGUACACGGUGCGGAUGCCUGAUGCUUUGUGAUACACUUUCGAAGAGUCGAGUUGUUUGGGAAUGCAGCUCAAAUUGGGUGGUAAAUUCCAUCUAAAGCUAAAUAUUGGCGAGAGACCGAUAGCGAACAAGUACCGUGAGGGAAAGAUGAAAAGCACUUUGGAAAGAGAGUUAACAGUACGUGAAAUUGUUGGAAGGGAAACGCUUGAAGUCAGACUUGCUAUUCGGAGCUUGCUUCGAUUCGCAGGCCCGCAUCAGUUUUUCGGGGCGGAAAAUCGUAGAGAGAAGGUAGCAGUUUCGGCUGUGUUAUAGCUUUCUACUGGAUUCGUCCUGGGGGACUGAGGAACGCAGCGUGCUUUUUGCAUGGGCUUCGGCCUAUCCACGCUUAGGAUGCGGGUGGAAUGGCUUUAAACGACCCGUCUUGAAACACGGACCAAGGAGUCUAACAUGCUUGCGAGUAUUUGGGUGUCAAACCCGGAUGCGCAAUGAAAGUGAAUGGAGGUGGGAAGCGCAAGCUGCACCAUCGACCGAUCUGGAUUUUCUAAGAUGGAUUUGAGUAAGAGCAAGUAUGUUGGGACCCGAAAGAUGGUGAACUAUGCCUGAAUAGGGUGAAGCCAGAGGAAACUCUGGUGGAGGCUCGUAGCGGUUCUGACGUGCAAAUCGAUCGUCAAAUUUGGGUAUAGGGGCGAAAGACUAAUCGAACCAUCUAGUAGCUGGUUCCUGCCGAAG